rnacentral:tmRNA from 1 species
GGGCUUGACCGGUUUUGACAGCGGGCAGAAGUGGUUUGUAAGCAUGCAGUGCGCUAUUAUUCAGCACUAUAAUCUCGGAUAAUGAACAAUUAAUUGGCGAAAAUACUUACGCGCUCGCAGCCUGAUCGAAGCAUAGUAGAUCUUGGCUUAAUCCUUACACAAGGUGUUUGGACGGGCUAUCACCCGGAAGCUCUGGCUUCGAAGCAGUCCGAGAAGGUGGUACAGGAAAUAUCGAAGUUGGUUUGAAAGCGGCCUUGGCUUUCAGACGAGAUAAAGAGGCUAAGUUCGUCGUUGGUGGCUUCGGUCUUGCGGCGGAUCGAAAAAUGAAGCGAAGAUAAGCAUGUAGAAAGCAGAUUAAUUCCUCGUUUGGACGAGGGUUCGACUCCCUCCAGGUCCACUA